AAUGGGCGCAAGCCUGAUCCAGCCAUGCCGCGUGUGUGACGAAGGCCCUAGGGUUGUAAAACACUUUCAGUGGGGAAGAUAAUGACGGUACCCACAGAAGAAGCUCCGGCUAACUCCGUGCCAGCAGCCGCGGUAAUACGGAGGGAGCUAGCGUUGUUCGGAAUUACUGGGCGUAAAGCGCACGUAGGCGGAUUUGUUAGUCAGAGGUGAAAUCCCGGGGCUCAACCUCGGAACUGCCUUUGAUACUGCAAGUCUAGAGACCGAGAGAGGUGAGUGGAAUUUCCAGUGUAGAGGUGAAAUUCGUAGAUAUUGGAAAGAACACCAGUGGCGAAGGCGGCUCACUGGCUCGGUACUGACGCUGAGGUGCGAAAGCGUGGGGAGCGAAGAGGAUU
rnacentral:rRNA from 1 species